AACAUCUCUAAUUAUUAGAGAAAUGCAAAUCAAAACUACAAUGAGAUAUCACAACAGUCAGAAUGACCAUCAUCAAAAAGUUUACAAAUAAAAAAUUCUGGAGAGGGUAUGGAGUAAAGGGAAACCUCCUACACUGUUGGUAGGAAUGUAAAUUGGUGCAACCACCAUUAUGGAGAACAGUAUGGAGGUUCCUAAAAAAACUAAAUAUAGAGCUACCAUAUGAUCCAACAAUUCCACACUUGGAGUAUCUGGAGAAAGAUACACUUUUAAAAGAUACAUGCACCCCCAAUGUUCAUAGCAGCACUGUUUAAAUAGCCAAGACAUGGAAACAACCUAAAUGUCCAUCAACAGAUGAAUGGAUAAAGAAGAGUGGUAUAUUACUUAGCCUGAUUCCUCCAGCUCCAUUUUUCUUUUUCAGGAUGUCUUUGGCUAUUCUGGGUCUUGUGUGCUUCCAAACAAAUUUUAAAAUAUUUUGUUCGAGUUCUGUGAAAAAUGUCCUUGGUAAUUUGACAGGAAUGGCACUGAAUCAUAGAUUGCCUUGGACAGUAUAGUCAUUUUGAUAAUAUUGACUCUUCCAAUCCACGAGCAUGGUAUGUCUUUCCAUCUAGUUGUGUCAGCUUUGAUUUCUUUCAUCAGUGUCUUAUAGUUUUCAGAGUACAGGUGUUUUGUCUCUUUAGGUAGGUUUACUCCUAGGUAUGUUAUUCUUUUGGAUGUGAUGGUAAAUGGGAUUGCUUCCCUAAUUUCUCUUUCUUAUCUUCCAUUGUUAGUAUACAGAAAUGCCAUUGAUUUCUGUGUAUUAAUUUUGUAUCCUGUGACUUGGCCAAAUUCAUUGAUGAGCUCUAACAGUUUUCUGGUAGAGUCUUUAGGAUUCUCUAGAUAUAGUAUCAUGUCAUUGCAAAUAGUGAUAGUUUUACUCCUUCCUUUCCAAUUUGGAUUCCUUUUAUUUAUUUUACUUCUCUAAUUGCUGUGGCUAGGACUUCCAAGACAGACAUAUAGAUCAGUGGAACAGGAUAGAAAGCUCAGAAUUAGACCCACGCACCUACAGCCAACUCAUCUAUGACAAACAAGGCAAGAAUAUACAGUGGAAAAAAGACAGGCUCUUCAAUAAGUGGUGCUGGGAAAACUAGAUAGCCAUAUGUAAAGAAUGAGAACACUCCCUAACACCAUACACAAAAAUAAACUCAAAAUGGAUUAAAGACCUAUAUAUGUAAGACCAGACACUAUAAAAUUCUUAGAGGAAAACAUAGGGCAAACACUCUCCAACAUAAACUACAGCAACAUCUUCUCAGAUCCACCUCUUAGAGUAAUGACAGUAAAAACAAAAAUAAAAAAAUGGGACCUAAUCAAACUGAAAAGUUUCUGCACAGCAAAGGAAACCCUAAACAAAAUGAAAAGAUAACCCAAAGAAUGGGAGAAAAUCUUUGCAAAUGAAUCAACUGACAAGGGAUUGAUCUCCAAAAUUUAUAAACACCUUCUGCAGCUCCAGACCAAAAAGACAAACAAGCCCAUCAAAAAAUGGGCAGAAGAUCUAAAAUGGACAAUUCUCCAAAAGACAUAUGAAUGGCCAAAAAGCACAUGAAAAAAUGUUCAACAUCACACAUUAUUAGAGAUAUGCAAAUCAAAACCACUAUGAGGUACCACCAUACUUCAGCCAGAAUGGCCAUCAUCAAAAAGUCUACAAACAAUAAAUGCUGGUGAGGGUGUGGAAAAAAAGGAACCCUAUUACACUGUUGGUGGGAAUGUAAAUUGGUGCAACCACUGUGGAAAAAAGUAUGGAGAUUCCUCAGAAAACUAAACAUGGAACUACCAUUUGAUUCAGCAAUCCCACUCCUGGGCAUCUAUCCAGAGAAAACCAUGAUUUGAAAAGACACAUGUACUCCAAUGUUCAUUGCAGCACUAUUUACAAUAGCCAAGACAUGGAAACAACCUAAAUGUCCAUUGACAGAGGAGUGGAUCAAGAAGAUGUGGUACAUAUACACAAUGGAAUAUUACUCAGCCAUUAAAAAGAACGAAAUACCAGCAUUUUUUGCAACAUGGAUGAACCUAGAAAUAAUCAUGCUAAGUGAAGUCAGUCAGACAAUGAGAUACCAACAUCAAAUGCUAUCACUGACGUGGAAUCUGAAAAAAAGACACAAUGAACUUCUUUACAGAACAGAUACUGACUCACAGACUUUGAAAAACUUAUAUAGUUUCUAAAGUAGAGAAGUUGGGGGGUAGGGGGAUGCUAGGGGUUUGGGAUGGAAAUGCUAUAUCAUUGUACAACUAUAAAUAUAAUAAAUUCAUUGAGUAAUGAAGAAAAAAUAAUAGCAACUAUGUCAUUUGCCUCAAAGCAAACAAGACAAAGGAGGAAGGUCCCAUGGAGAAGGAUAAAUCUGGGCAGUAUAGCCUAACAGUUAAGAUGAAGGAUCCUAGAAUCAGACAGCCCAGGCUCAAAUCCAAGCUUCCCCACUCACUAUGUAAAUCUGAACAAGUUGCAUGGCCUCCCUAAGCCUCUGUUUCUUUAUCUACAAAAGGAGGAUGGUAACUCCUGGUGAAGAGCAUUGUAGUAAGGAUCAAAGGAGGCAACAUACCUGAGUUUAGCACAGUGCCUGGCACACACAAAUGACCAAUAAAUGUGACUACUACUGUAAUUAUUGUUAUCAGUCUCAAAUGCUGAAAAAUUUGUCUUUAGGUAUUGGGAGGAGGCUGUAAGAAUCAGGUAGGGUAUUCCAAGCAGAAGAAAGAGAACAAGUGAAAAACACAGAGGAUAUGUUUGGGACAAGUUUGGGACAAGUUCAUAGCUCUGAGGUGCAAGAACAUUUUUGCAGACCCUGGCCAGGAACAGCCAAAGCAGAAAAGUCUGGAAGACUAGACCAGGGCUAUGUCAAAGGAGUUCAGAUACACACCCAUUCCUCAUCCCCUUCUGAGAAAAACAAAACAAAGUUGAGUUUUUAACACGAUAUUAUCCUUUAUCUCCUGACGGGUACUGUAAAUUGUGCCUCUGAUAUAUUUGUGAAGAGCCUAUAAAGGGAAUGAUAAAUCAGGCAAUAUUACAUAUAUUCAUCAGUACCUUAAUUGUUGUUAAAUACCUAAACCUAAAUAACACCUAAAAUUGAUCUGCACCAAGAUUUACCGCUCUGACAAAAAUCCACCUGGAAAAGAAUACAUGAUAAUUAAGAAGAACGACCACAGAUUUGCAGCAAUGUAAGGAGUAUGAACAAGAUUUAAACUCCUCCCUGAGGGAAUAACUAGGUGAUGUUUAUUCUGUGGAUGAACAAUGUGAUUGUAACAAUGGAAAAGAUUGAUGAGAUUUUUUUUUCCUGUGGGAGUUUAAUUUAACCAACUAUCUCAGAUAAUAGAAGGAUACAGGACUGAGUACUCCAGCGACACUUAAAAAUUCUUUGUGAAGGAAAACUAAGUACACAUCCUCUGUGACCUGGAAAAAUAGAUUGCAAAUCAAGUGGGCACAUUAAGUAGCUACAAACUGGCAUAGAAGAAAAUGGAGUUGAAGAAAUAAGAAAAUUCUAGAGUUUUCUGGUGGCUCAACUGGUUAAGGAUCCAGCAUUGUCAGUGCUGUAUCACAGGUUCAGUUCCUGGCCCUGGAACUUCCACAUGCUGCCAAAACAAACAAUCAAAAAACUUUCUAAAUUAACCACAACUAAAUUUAACCAAAUUAGAGGGGAAAGAGACAAGGAGAAUCAUCUUCUUAUCAUGAAGAAAGGAAUAAAUAUCGUUCUUUUUUCGGUAGGCUUUUGUGCCUGUAAUCUCUUCUGUCCAGAAAAUGAUGAACCACCUGGCCUUAGUAAACACACAAACAAAAAGCAAGGCAGCAUCAGUCUUCCAGAACCUUGCUUCUUUAAAUGGAAGAAGAUUAUCAACUGGGACCUUAUUAGAAACACAAAAUGUUGGGCCUUACCUUUGAUCUCCUAAAUCAGAAUCUGUACUUUUAACAAGAGCCCCAGGAAUCCAAGUGAAUUCUUUGCACAUUGAAGAUAGGUAGCCACUAGCCACACGUAGCUAUUUAAAUUUAAAUUACUUAAAAUUACAUUAAAAUUUUACUUAAUUGCAGAGGUUCAUUGGCACUAACCACAAUUUAAGUGUUCAAUUAGCCUGGGUGGCUAGUGUCUACCAAACGUGUUUCCAUCAUCACAGAAACUUCCAUGGGACAGAGCUGAUCUAGACACUUUACUGAAGAAAGAGAAGAAAGGCUCUUAUGCUCCUGAAGCAUAGAUCCUAGUGCAGGGAGGCAGAUCAUUAACAAUAAGCAACACAUGUGACAAAAUUCAAGGUGUGUUGGAUGGUUAAAUGCUAAAGACAAAAAUUGAAAACAGAGCAGUCUUAGAGGGAUCAGGAAGAUGGAAAGGCAGUUAGAAUUUUUAAUAUGGCAGGUCUAGUGGGCUUCAAUGAAGAAGGUCACAGUGAAGAAGAAGCAGACUGCUAACCAGCAGGGGGAGGAUUCUCAAGGGAAAAGCUUGUACAAAGGCACUGUGUCAGGCAGGUGUGUUUGAGGGAUACCAAGGAAGCCCAUGCGAGUUGGAGAUGAGAAUGAAGGGUGAAUAAGAGGGUAGGAGAGCAAUGGGGUAAGGAUCCCUCAGAGGGGGAAGAACCUCCUUGUCCAUCAUAAAGGAUUUGGCUUUUAUUUGGAGUGAAAUGAAGAGUCCUUGCAAGGUUUUGAGCUGAGGAGUGACAUGCUUCAACUCCAUCUCAAAGUUAAUCUAGUCCUAGAAAAGGACUAUAAGCAAAAGUUAUUUAUUUGUUUUAAUUCAAAGUCACCGUCAGGUAUAGAGAGACACUAUCUGUGCUGGCAAAAUGACUUUGUUUACAAGUUUUGGUAACCACCAGAAGCUUGUUAAUGAUACACAAACAAAGUCAUUAAAAUUUAUCACUGUGAAAUUCAGACACUUUUUCAUGGGCUCAAUUAAUAUGCAGUCACAAGGUCUUACAGGUUACCACUCAGAAUCUGGAGCCACACUUGUUAUAAACACUUUGAGCAAAUCCUGAGGAAUGCAAAUCAGACUCACCCAACUUUCUAAAAGGUGGAAUUUUGCCUAAGUGUCUCACCCUCAAAACUUGUUGAUUACUUUGUUACUUAUUUACAUGUAUUUCUUAAAGAUAUAGAAGUCCAUUCAGUGAUUCCAAACUAUUUUUUUUCACCCUAACUUCAACCAGUUAAAUACCAAAGUUUUGGAAAGCAAGGGAUGGGGUUUUCUUUAAGUUAUUUUUUCCAGAGUUCCCAGAAGCAAGGAUACACUCUAGCCGCAACUGAGAAUGUUGUUGUCUUGAGGUAAAUCAAUGUUCUAAGAAAUGGAGGUCACUGUAGCCUGGCUACAAAAUGCCAUCAUUAGCCUCAAGGCCUAGGUUCACUACAUGAAUGCUGUACCAAAGAGGCAGGCCUAAUAUGACUAAGAGUCACUGCUUGCAAUUUAUUCCCUGGGGAUCACCAACAACUGUGAUCCAGACUGAGUUCUGGCAGAAAAAUAGAGUAAGGUCACCUUCAGUAAAUUAAAACAAAUGAACAAUAAAUCAAGGCAUUCCAGGUCUUUGGGAACUACCUGUUCAGCUGCUCAUGACAAGUAAGUGGAUCAAGGACCAUCAUUUUUAUGCAUCUAUGCAUAACAGUUUUGAGCAACAGAACAUAAGAGGAGAUUUUAGCAACCAAAUUAUUACUAGUUUGGGUUAUGAGAGUCUAGAACUAGAGGUGUUUUAUUAUUUCAUAAUGUAUUCAUUAAAUAAGCCCAUGUUGAGGACCCUUUAUAGGCAAGAACUUAUAGGAAAUACAGCAGUUUGCAUGCUACUGUACCUCAUCCACAUGAAGGUUGCAGUCUCAAUUCUGACUUCCUUUCAGCUCUCUCUUGGAGCCAGGAAGCUUCCAGCCUGAAGAGGAAACCUGAAGAGGCCAUUUGUGGAUGAGAAGGAUUUCAAGAUCAUUUUAGAGACAAAAAAACCAGAGAUACACGAGCAAAAGGUGGAUCUUCACAGGCAAAUGCACACAGUAACUUUUACAUGCUCCACCAUGAGGCCAAAGCACUAAGACCCUCUUCUGCUCCUCUCAUUCAACCCCAAGAGCCACCACUAAGAUUUAAAGCACUCCUCCUCAACUCGCCCACUUUGUGGUAUGGCAAAACCAGAAAGAGCAGAGAAAAACCAUUUCUGGAGACGGAACACAUUAAAUCACUAAAGUGAAAAAAGGGGCAAAUAAGUCCCUUGACAGAAUUUUUAAAACAGUGUAUGUUUUGGGUU
rnacentral:lncRNA from 1 species